AAGCGGAACGCGGUUAGGAGAGAGAGCCCCGCGGGAGGAGAGUCGCCCGGCCCGCCAGGCUGCCGUGCGCGCCGCACGAGGCCGCGCCGCACGAGGCCGCGCAGACCCUCGGGAGCGUGCUAAUGGGUCACGCCACGACUCUCGGCCGAGGGGCGACCUGUCGACAGCCACCCUGUUAGUGCGAGCGCCUGGAGACCGGCCGGCCGCUCUGGCCGGCCUAGCCUUGGUGAGGAUGUGGCAAGACCCAGCAGCGUGGCUGAACUUAUGUCAGAGGAAGUGGCUUUCUCAUUGCAGCAAAAAUUCCCGUACCAGUGUCAGUGCUAGGGUAAUGUAAAACUUCAAUUUUUAUUCUGCUCCCUGCUCCCAGUUUGCAAUGAGCCAUAUACAUCUUCAACACGGUUAUCCUGAAUUCUAAAUACAAAUUUUAAAACAUACUUAUUUAAACCUUCUGUGUGUGCAAGUCAACUCUGCCCCCCAGGGAGGUGGGAGGUUUAGAUUUAUUUCCUUUCUAAGUGCCAAGCACGAGAUAAGAUACCUGUUCUCUUGGAGCUUUCCUUUCAGUGAAGAGCGACAAAUGGCAGCAAGCACAUGAUUAAACAAGAAUAUAUUAAAGAGCAUUAAGUCCUAUUCAGAGAACUAAAAUAAGUUUAUGUGCUAGAGCAGCGGUCUCCAACCUUUUUGGCACGUGGGACUGGUUUCAUGGAAGAUAAUUUUUCCACAGACUGGUGGGUGUGAGCGACGGGGAGCGAUGGGGAGCGGACCGGGUGUAGACACAGAUGAAGCUUGGCUCCCUCCAGGCCGCUCACCUCCUGCUGUCCGGGUGUUGGUAGGAGGGGAGGGCGCUCUUCGUCCCCCCUUCCUAAGUGUCAUGGUUUCACGGAAGACAAUUUUCCCGUGGAUUGGAGGAGGGGGUGGUGCGUCUGAGCUUUGUGGCCCAGUCCCUAAUAGGCUGCUGACAGGGGUUAGGGACCGCAGUGCUGGAGGGUAGCUGGAGGGAUCUUUUGGAUUGGGUGGGGUGGUCUGGUCUGGGAAAGCCUCCAGGGUAAUGUAGAUAAACUAUUGAGCACAUGGUAGGUGCUCUGGAAAUGGUAGCUACUAUUUGGAUGAGGGCAAUGGUUCAUGCAAUAACUUUUACUUUCCCUACUACCCAGGCCUGGUCAUACAAUGGAGAGAUACAGCCCCUCCUCUUACCAGGAAGGCAGAUUUACAUGCAAUUGUGAUAAACUGUAGGGUAAAGGUUGUUGAGGGAAAGCACAAAUGGUUUGAGUUCAGAUAUGGGGAAAAUUAUCUGGAUAGGGUUGGCAGGCUUAUGGGAGGUGCAUGGCAGUGUUGAGCAGUGACUCGCAUGCUAUGAUUUGAGUUGUCAUCAUAGUGAUGUGUAUGUGUGUGCAUGUUAGUCAUAAUUACCCCGUUCCCCACUGAACAAGGACUUGUGGUAAGAUUACUGGUAAAAUUUCUGAUACCAGAAAAAGAUGCUUUCGUGCAGCUGUGGGGUUUGGAGAGACCCUUGAAGUCCUUAUAGUUACCUCCUGAGGGUCAGGAGGGAAAGGAUUGCUGGGAUUUGCAGAGGCCAGUGACUUUGGGCUGAUUCACAUUGUCUCUCCUGUCCUCCCUGCUUGGAACAGAUUGAAAGAAAAAGUGAAGGAAUUGGCAAUGGCCAUUUGGAAGAACUACAGUGUAUUAUGAUGCCUGUCUCUCUUACCAGAUGGUGAACUCCUAAAGCCUUGAUUCCUAAACUGGAGCCAGAAACUGUGGAUCAAAGGUGGAAACAACCACUGAAAACAAGAUCACAGAUGAGAGCUAUGGACAGCUCAAGUUCUUUCAUAGUAAGUGUUUAGUGAAGACAUAGUUUUAGGUUACAGGGGCCCAUGCUCACUCUCUGCAGAGUGAGUAGUGACUCCGUAGAAGAGGGGACCUGGGCUCAAUGCCAGUGUUAUACUCAGACCUGCUGCCACUUCUAGGGCACUGGAACAUGCUGAAAUUUGACCCUGGGUAUGGGUCUAGUGGCAAUAAGAAGUAUCUGGGGUAGUUUUUGAGGAGAGUGGGCAUCUUCUCUUUUGUGAGGCAUUUGUUCCAGGUGAGGUAGUUACAAGGUUUUGGGGGAGGGGGAAGAAGACUUCUCAGACACAGAUACUUUUUUUCUAGAAGUUUACUAUCUUUAGAUUUUUUUUUUGUUUAAAUCUGUAAUUCAUUUGAGUUAAUUUUGUAUAAGGUGUGAAGUAUAGGUCAGGUUUAUCUUUUGUAUCUAUCUAUCUAUCUGUGUAAAUAUGCAUGCAUUUAUUUGCAUCUGAAUGUCCAAAUGUGCCAGCACCGUUUGUUAAAAAUACCAUAAUUUUUCCAUUGAAUUCCUUUUGUACCUUUGUAGAAAAUCAAUUGACCAUAAAUAGAAGAGUUUAUUUCUGGACUUUCAAUUCUGUUUCAUUGAUGUAUAUUUCUGUUUACCACACUGUCUUGACUACUAUAGCAUCUUGAAAUUAGGUAGUGUGAGACUUCUAUUGUUGGGUUUUUUUUCUUUUCUUUCAGCUAUUCUGGUUCCUUUGGCACUGCAUAUAAUAUUUUAAGUCAGCUUGUCUGAUCCAUAAAAAAAUACUGCUGGAAUUUUGAUUGUAUUGACUCUAUAGAUUCAUUUGGGGAGAACUGACAUUUUAACAAUACAAUAUCUUCAAAUCCAUGAAUGCUGUAUGUUUCUACAUGUAUUUAGCUCUUCUUUGAUUUCUUUCAUCAAUCAUUUAUAUUAAGCAAACAGAUUAUGCAUAUAUUUUAUUAAGUUUAUACCUAAAUACCUCUCUUAUUUUUGGUGCUAUUACAAAUGGUAUAUCUAUAUUUUUUAUUUCAAAUUUCAACUGUCCAUUGCUGGGGGAAUAUGAUUGACUUUUCUAUGUUGGCUUGUAUGUAUCCUGCCACCUUAGUUCACUUAGUUUUAGGAGCUUUUUGCAGAUUCUUUGAUGUUUUCUACAUAGAUAAUCAUGUUAUCUAUGGAUAAAGAUAUUUUUGUUUUUUCCCUUUCAAUAUACAUGCCCUUUACUUCUUUUUAAUUGCCAUAUUACACUGACUAGGACUUUCAGUUCAUUGUUAAAUAGGAAUGGUAAGAGAAGGCAACCUUCUCUUGUUCCCAGUCUUGUGGGAACACACGUAGGCACAAACACACAUCCUUGUACACCCAUGCAUAAGAAGUAAAUUUUAUUUUAGAGUGAAAAUGAAAACUAAAAGUUCUCAAAACAAGUAAUAACAAUUCAUUUUUGGACUUAAUUUUAUAGCCUUUUAAUGGCAAGGAGGGGGAGUAUAAGGAAGGGGAGAAAAUGAGACUGAGGUGAAGGAAGCAGGUGGGGAGGAAAAAUCUGGAGAGGCUGGGUAGGAACAAACGGUGGACAGUGGAAUGACGGGUGAGGAGCCCACCGGGCUUCAGAGUGAGUGUGGCAGUUGGAGUGAAACUCCUCUGGUUUCUCUUGGGCAAGGGCACGGGAGUAGGUUACCCCAGCUUUUACUUUUAUUUUCCAUCUUUAUUGUUUAAUUUUGACAGUCAGGAUAUUUUCUCGUGGGAUUUUGAACAUCGUCACCUUGUGAUGAAAUUACUUAGAAUUGGUGAUUUAGUAAUCAAAUAAAAUUAGUAAUUCUGUAAUUAGUAUUAGAUUACAUAAAUACAUAUAGCCUGUAUUUUGCUUUGAUGGAUUUUGAACCUGACUGAUGGCAUUAUUUUUAGGAGAGAAUGCUUCAUUUCACAAUGUCUAGAGAUUGCAUCCAAAGACAAUGUUUAUUUAAAAAUAAAUCUAUUUUUAGUCUCUUGAGGAACACACAAUGCAAGCAAAUAAAUUAAGAAAAGGUACUUUAACUGGAGGCUUCACUAGUUUAUUUAACUGCUUUGAACAAUGUGCUUGGUUCUCACUUGAGUAAGAAAGGGAAUGAGGUCCUGUUGUCCACUAGGAUGGAAAUUAUAUUCUCAUUUGAAGUUUCUGCUGUCGGACAAUGCAGUCUCCUAUGGUGUGGAAGAACAGCAUCAUGUUCAAGCAAGGUGGAAUUAGAAUGCACAGAGCUAUGUUUCUUGUCCAGGAAGAGGGAAGGUUUGAUUAAUUGUUUGCAGGCUACGCAUUUGGUGGUGGCAACAGAAAAAGGGUUGUGGUCACAAGGAAACCUGUGGAGUCAUUCAGCAGCUUUCCUAGUUGACUUAGACAGCCUGUAUCCCUUGUAUCACCAACUGGCACCUACAGCAAUGCUUGGUGGCAUUUAACUUCUCAUCACAAACAACUUUAUUCUUUUCUUCUUUCCUUCUACGGUUCCUUCCUUUCUGACUUCUCUGAGUGAUGGUAAUAUUGUGGCCACAGGCUGUCUCUCAGGGCAUUUAAGAGUGAUGCCCACGGCAGCAUCCACGCCUUGCGGACACAGGGCAUGGAAGGGUCAGUAUAAUGGAGGCGCCAGCCCCUGUUAGCGCCUGCUACAGAAAGUCACGGCCAGGCUGCCAGUGUGGUAUCACAAGGAAGGUAGCUGUGCUCAGCAGUGGCAGAGUCUAAUUUUAGGGUGUUAGGGGAUUCUGGAGAAGAGCAGUAUUGUGUGCUGCUGAGUCAUUAGGAAUUAAACAUGGUAGGUAGAAAAUGGCAGAACAGAGGAAAGAAAUAAGAGAAUGCAAGACUGAUCAUGGAAUAAUUGAAGCAAGAAGGAAUUUUGCUGGCUGUAACGAUAUAAGAUGUCUGCAUGUACAUCAUGUUGAUUAGGAAAGAGGCUCUUUGUUCUGAAAUGUCUUCAUCAGUGAAAGUCAAGGAGAUGAGCUUGGUGGGGACACAGUGAACCGACUACUCCCCCGCAUCGACUCAGUCCUGGAUCUGCAGAACUCAGCUCCACCCCCACUAACAGCUCCCAGCUGUCAGCCUGUGGAGCCCUCCUCUAUCUCUGCGUGCGUGAGUGUAGAGCUCAUAAUACGCUCAGCUUGUACUCAUGCGGUGGGGCAGUCUCAAAUUGUUUUAUGGAUACAGUUUAGGUCAGAGAUUGUGCUUUCUAUUUCUCUUAAACCCUGAUUUAUUUAUCACAUAGGAGGUGCAUGAAAAUACAUGCUAAAUGAAAAUAGUGCAAAGAGCUCUGAACUUGGAAGCAGAUGACCUGGACUUUGCUUCGGUUUUGCGCUUGUUACACAUGAGCUGGGAGAAGACACUGACCUUUCACCUCUCUCAUUUCUACACAGAGAAUAGUGAUCUCUGCUAUGCCUACUUCGUCAGAAAACUGAAGAUCAGACUAUGGAAAGAUGAGAAAAAGCUUUUGCUGCUGCCCAAGACCAACAAGACUAUUCUGACACCCAAUCCCCAUCAUCCUUGCCUCCGUUCUCUGAUAACAUGGGAAAUUAUGAACCCCAGCACCUGGGACCCUGAGGAAUUUACCAGGAGUAAAUGGCUUUCAUGAAAAAAAAAAAGCAUAAGUUUCUCUGUGCUGGCAGGUGAUUUUGUUUUUAAUUACAUUUCCCCAGUGGAAGGUGCUGCCAUGCCAGGAGCAUCAGCACUGCUGAACCUUAGGGAGAUUGUAAAUUCCAGGAAUGUGUUCCCGCUACAUGUAAGGUGUUAUGCAACCUCAGCUUCAAGUUGUGUGAUCCUCGCUGGCUGGUACUGUGGUCUAACAUUCCACAGUGGGGUGUGCAGGUGUUUUCUCUACAACCUGCUCCUUUCUGAAGACGUGUGUCUCUUUUCUGGAUGGAAUACAUAACCCCAAUGAUGCUUAAGCAGCUGUUUCACUGAAGAGCUCGUGUGAGUGCCCCGAAGCCAUGCAGGGCUGGGGGUGGGGGUGAGAGAAUCAUCAGCAGUUCUGUGAAUGUUAUAAUGUCUCCAGCCUGCAAGUGACAAAACUGAGGCCUAGAGAAGCUAAGCAGCUUGUUCAGAGGCACAAGCUAGUAAGUGGCCAACCUGAGGUUUAAUCCUCAGUCUCCUAACUCCACAUCCAGAGCUCUUAUUAGCUUAUCCCACUUGUGUAGAAGGUCGUGGCAGCCAAGCCACUGAGUGUCCAGACUUUAGUCAUAUUCUGGCAAGAGGCCUGUGUUUUAUUAAAUGUCUGUUGACGAACGAAUACAAAAAUCUGUUGUCUCUUUUUAUGUUUCAGGACUCUGCUCAUUACUCUGAACCUCCGCUGUCUUCUUUCAUAGCCCGUUGGCUCAUGGUUGAUCUUCUCCACUGCUGUGGGCUCUGUCUGUCCCAAGCAGAUACGAAGGAAAGGUCUUUCUUCUGUUGCCACUAACCGACAUGGCGUCUCAUUGCUAGCACACCUGGAGAAUGGGCAAAGAAGGAGAGGGGGAAGGACUGUCUACCCACCUAUUUUAUCUCUUCCCCUGUCCCCAUUCAAAAGCCCUCUUUGCUACUCUCAGGCCAUGUUGGGGAGGGAGACCUCGAGAGAAACCAAAGCUUUCGCCUGUGUCUGCUUCCUCAUUUGUUACCUGAAGAUCAUAUUGAUUUCUUGAGGUCUUCCCAAUCUCUCCUCUUUUUUCCCCUUAUAAAUCUACUUGCCCUGGGGCCUGAUUAGACUUUUAAAAACAAUUGCUUGAGGUCAGGGGUUUGAGACCAGCCUGAGUAAGAGCGAGACCCCCGUUUCU